UACGAAGGGGGCUAGCGUUGCUCGGAAUUACUGGGCGUAAAGCGCACGUAGGCGGAUCUUUAAGUCAGGGGUGAAAUCCUGGAGCUCAACUCCAGAACUGCCUUUGAUACUGAGGACCUUGAGUUCGGGAGAGGUGAGUGGAACUGCGAGUGUAGAGGUGAAAUUCGUAGAUAUUCGCAAGAACACCGGUGGCGAAGGCGGGUCACUGGGCCGAUACUGACGCUGAGGAGCGAAAGCGUGGGGAGCGAACAGG
rnacentral:rRNA from 1 species